AUAACUCACCGUCCGACCACAAUAUUUUGAGAUCCCAAUUUAUCCACUAGAGAGAGAGUGAAACGCUUCUAGAUCAACAUCCCAAUAAAUUCCUCCGAUACGGAGAAUGCUUCUUGUUUCGGCUAAGUUUCGACAUUUUUUGGUUUUAGUUAUUCUGUUUAAGCUUUUCUUGGACCUUAGAUUCUACAUUAUUUGGUUUAUAUUCUUCUACUUUAAACCUCUCUUGUGCUUCGGUCUCUAGUUUUAGAGGUUUAUCAGGAAAUUUCAUGAUCAGACAGUCAGUAAACGAAGAAGAUGA
rnacentral:lncRNA from 1 species